rnacentral:tRNA from 1 species
GCGGCGGGUACGGCAGCUUGCGGCCGGCGGGAUGGGUGCCCGCAGGGGCGGCCGGUGGGUGCUGGACCGGUCUGUCGUCC